rnacentral:rRNA from 1 species
CACGCCCUAAACGAUGCACACUAGUUGUUGUGAGGCUAGACCUUGCAGUAAUGCAGUUAACACAUUAAGUGUGCCGCCUGGGGAGUACGGUCGCAAGAUUAAAACUCAAAGGAAUAGACG